UACGAAGGGGGCUAGCGUUGCUCGGAAUCACUGGGCGUAAAGGGUGCGUAGGCGGGUCUUUAAGUCAGGGGUGAAAUCCUGGAGCUCAACUCCAGAACUGCCUUCGAUACUGAGGAUCUUGAGUUCGGGAGAGGUGAGUGGAACUGCGAGUGUAGAGGUGAAAUUCGUAGAUAUUCGCAAGAACACCAGUGGCGAAGGCGGCUCACUGGCCCGAUACUGACGCUGAGGCACGAAAGCGUGGGGAGCAAACAGG
rnacentral:rRNA from 1 species